rnacentral:rRNA from 1 species
CCUACGGGUGGCUGCAGUCGAGAAUCAUUCACAAUGGGGGAAACCCUGAUGGUGCGACGCCGCGUGGGGGAAUGAAGGUCUUCGGAUUGUAAACCCCUGUCAUGUGGGAGCAAAUUAAAAAGAUAGUACCACAAGAGGAAGAGACGGCUAACUCUGUGCCAGCAGCCGCGGUAAUACAGAGGUCUCAAGCGUUGUUCGGAAUCACUGGGCGUAAAGCGUGCGUAGGCUGUUUCGUAAGUCGUGUGUGAAAGGCGCGGGCUCAACCCGCGGACGGCACAUGAUACUGCGAGACUAGAGUAAGGGAGGGGGAAACGGAAUGCUCGGUGUAGCAGUGAAAUGCGUAGAUAUCGAGAGGAACACUCGUGGCGAAGGCGGGUUCCUGGACAUUAACUGACGCGGAGGCACGAAGGCCAGGGGAGCGAAAGGGAUUAGAUACCCGGGUAGUC